GAUGAACGCUGGCGGCGUGCCUAAUACAUGCAAGUCGAGCGAACAGACGAGGAGCUUGCUCCUCUGACGUUAGCGGCGGACGGGUGAGUAACACGUGGAUAACCUACCUAUAAGACUGGGAUAACUUCGGGAAACCGGAGCUAAUACCGGAUAAUAUAUUGAACCGCAUGGUUCAAUAGUGAAAGACGGUUUUGCUGUCACUUAUAGAUGGAUCCGCGCCGCAUUAGCUAGUUGGUAAGGGAACGGCUUACCAAGGCAACGAUGCGUAGCCGACCUGGGAGGGGGAAUAGCCCCCACGGGAAUGAGACACGGCCCAGACUCCUACGGGGGGCAGCAGUGGGGAAUGUUUGCCAAUGGGGGGAAACCCGAACGAGCCAAGCCGCGUGCGAGAAGAAGGGCUUCGGGUUGGAAAAAGCUUUUGUUUGGGAAAAAACAAUUUGGGAAAAUACUAUGGGGGUAUGACGGUACCCGAAGAAGAAGCACCGGCUAACUACGUG
rnacentral:rRNA from 1 species